AUUACGUACAAUAGAUGUUUGCUUGUGAGUUCUAGUUCGGAAUGUCUUUCGACCAAUCAAUAUAGUUGUCCAAUUUUUUUCUUAAUUAGUUUUUCUGACGAACAUUAUUUUUAUUUAUUUUAAACAUAUUUUGUCGAGUUACUUUGUGAGAUAAUCUGCUGAACCAGCAAUACUAGUUUAUAGACGGUUACGCAAGGUGUGAUUCACGUGCACCAAUUUUUCGCUGUUAAUUUUGAUUUUCCA